AUUGAACGCUGGCGGAAUGCUUUACACAUGCAAGUCGAACGGCAGCACGACUUCGGUCUGGUGGCGAGUGGCGAACGGGUGAGUAAUGUAUCGGAACGUGCCCAGUCGUGGGGGAUAACGUAGUGAAAAUUACGCUAAUACCGCAUACGAUCUAUGGAUGAAAGCGGGGGAUCGCAAGCCCUCGCGCGAUUGGAGCGGCCGAUAUCAGAUUAGGGAGUUGGUUGGGUAAAGGCCCACCAAGCCAACGAUCUGUAGCAGCUCUGAGAGGACGACCAGGCAGAAUGGAACAGAGACACGGUCCAGACUCCGACGGGAGGCAGCAGUGGGGAAUUUUGGACGAUGGGCGAAGGCCUGAUCCAGCCAUUCCGAGUGCAGGAUGAAGGCCCUCGGGUUGUAAACUGCUUUUGUACAGAACGAAAAGGUUUCUACUAAUACUAGGAGCUCAUGACGGUACUGUAGGAAUAAGCACCGGCUAACUACGUGCCAGCCGCCGCAGUAA
rnacentral:rRNA from 1 species